UGGGGAAUAUUGCACAAUGGAGGGAACUCUGCUGCAGCGACGCCGCGUGAACGAAGAAGGCUUUCGAGUCGUAAAGUUCUUCUAUAUGGGAAGAUAAUGACGGUACCAUAAGAAAAAGCCCCGGCUAACUACGUGCCAGCAGCCGCGGUAAUACGUAGGGGGCUAGCGUUGUCCGGAAUCACUGGGCGUAAAGGGUUCGCAGGCGGAAAUGCAAGUCAGGUGUAAAAGGCAGUAGCUUAACUACUGUAAGCAUUUGAAACUGCAUAUCUUGAGAAGAGUAGAGGUAAGUGGAAUUUUUAGUGUAGCGGUGAAAUGCGUAGAUAUUAAAAAGAAUACCGGUGGCGAAGGCGAAUUACUGGGCUAAUUCUGACGCUGAGGAACGAAAGCGUGGGUAGCAAACAGG
rnacentral:rRNA from 1 species